GAUGAACGCUAGCGGCAGGCUUAAUACAUGCAAGUCGAGGGGCAGCAUGAUUGUAGCAAUACAAUUGAUGGCGACCGGCAAACGGGUGCGGAACACGUACACAACCUUCCAAUAAGUGGGGAAUAGCCCAGAGAAAUUUGGAUUAAUACCCCGUAACAUAACGAUGUGGCAUCACAUUGUUAUUAUAGAUUUUUCGCUUAUUGAUGGGUGUGCGGCUGAUUAGAUAGUUGGCGGGGUAACGGCCCACCAAGCCUACGAUCAGUAGCUGAUGUGAGAGCAUGAUGAUCUACAGGGGUACUGAGACACGGGCCCGACUCCUACGGGAAGCAGCAGAAAGGAAUAUUGGACAAUGGACGUAAGUCUGAUCCAGCCAUGCCGCGUGAAGGAUUAAGGUCCUCUGGAUUGUAAACUUCUUUUAUAAGGGACGAAAAAAGGCUUUUCUAAGUCGUCUGACGGUACCUUAAGAAUAAGCACCGGCUAACACCGUGCCAGCAGCCGCCGUAACAC
rnacentral:rRNA from 1 species